rnacentral:rRNA from 1 species
UACGGAGGGUGCAAGCGUUGUCCGGAUUUAUUGGGUUUAAAGGGUGCGUAGGCGGCCGUUUAAGUCCGGGGUGAAAGCCCACUGCUCAACAGUGGAACUGCCCUGGAAACUGGAGAACUUGAGUACAGACGAGGGCGGCGGAAUGGAUGGUGUAGCGGUGAAAUGCAUAGAUACCAUCCAGAACCCCGAUUGCGAAGGCAGCUGCCUAGACUGUAACUGACGCUGAGGCACGAAAGCGUGGGGAGCGAACAGG